AAGGUUUCCGUAGGUGAACCUGCGGAAGGAUCAUUAUUGAAAUAAACCUGAUGGGUUGCUGCUGGCUCUCUCGGGAGCAUGUGCACACUUGUCAUCUUUAUAUCUCCACCUGUGCACCUUUUGUAGAUCUGGAUAUCUUUCUGAAUGCCUGGCAUUCAGGUUUGAGGAUUGACUUUUUGUCUUUCCUUACAUUUCCAGGCCUAUGUUUUCUUCAUAUACACCANUUAUGUUAUAGAAUGUAAUNAAAGGCCUUUGUGCCUACAAACUUUAUACAACUUUCAGCAACGGAUCUCUUGGCUCUCGCAUCGAUGAAGAACGCAGCGAAAUGCGAUAAGUAAUGUGAAUUGCAGAAUUCAGUGAAUCAUCGAAUCUUUGAACGCACCUUGCGCUCCUUGGUAUUCCGAGGAGCAUGCCUGUUUGAGUGUCAUUAAUAUAUCAACCUCCUCAGGUUUUUACUUGUCGAGUGUUUGGAUGUGGGGGUUUCUUUUGCUGGUCUCUUUGAGGUCGGCUCCCCUAAAAUGCAUUAGCGGAACAAUUUGUUGACCCGUUCAUUGGUGUGAUAAUAUCUACGCUUUUGACGUAAAACAGGUUCAGCUUCUAACAGUCCAUUGACUUGGACAAUUUUUCAUUAAUGUGACCUCAAAUCAGGUAGGACUACCCGCUGAACUUAAGCAUAUCAAUAAGCGGAGGAAAAGAAACUAACAAGGAUUCCCCUAGUAACUGCGAGUGAAGCGGGAAAAGCUCAAAUUUAAAAUCUGGCAGUCUUUGGC
rnacentral:rRNA from 1 species